UGCGGCCGGUUUUAAUCAACAAAGCGAGAAGAAUUCGUUUCUGCGCCGGCCAGCCGCGGCAGGAGGAAAUCUUCAAAUAUCCAAAGGAGAAACAGCCGAUGAACACACUAGUUUGUUUGCCUUGAAGGAUUAUGGGAAAAGUUGUUGAACUGACGGCCCCAACAAAACUGUCCGUUCUUCCUGUCUGAGGGGCUUCCUCCCACUCGUGCCCAAUCAGCACCUGUCACCACGGUGAUCGCCGAUGCAGGGUUUAUCUAAGGAAACAGUUGCCGUGGCAAGGAUGGUCUGGCCACAGUGACAGAUUAAUGCUGACUUAAACUCACUUCCUGAUCACACAGAGAGGACUCUAAUGAGGAGGAGGAGUCUCGCUGUCUGUCUGUCUCUAUCUCACAUACACACACUCAAAGGCGCCACAAUGUAGACAGGCCAAAAUAAAGCAAGCUGCUCGAGUCUGUCCAUAUUGUCUUAUUGUUCAUGGUGUUAAUUAUUUCCUGUUUACUAAUAGGCCAGAACAGAGUCUGGAGAGGUCAGAAAGCCACAGACAUU